rnacentral:rRNA from 1 species
GACGAACGCUGGCGGCGUGCUUAACACAUGCAAGUCGAACGGAAAGGCCCUGCUUUUGUGGGGUGCUCGAGUGGCGAACGGGUGAGUAACACGUGAGUAACCUGCCCUUGACUUUGGGAUAACUUCAGGAAACUGGGGCUAAUACCGGAUAGGAGCUCCUGCUGCAUGGUGGGGGUUGGAAAGUUUCGGCGGUUGGGGAUGGACUCGGGGCUUAUCAGCUUGUUGGUGGGGUAGUGGCUUACCAAGGCUUUGACGGGUAGCCGGCCUGAGAGGGUGACCGGCCACAUUGGGACUGAGAUACGGCCCAGACUCCUACGGGAGGCAGCAGUGGGGAAUAUUGCACAAUGGGCGGAAGCCUGAUGCAGCAACGCCGCGUGCGGGAUGACGGCCUUCGGGUUGUAAACCGCUUUCGCCUGUGACGAAGCGUGAGUGACGGUAAUGGGUAAAUAAGCACCGGCUAACUACGUG